GAAGAAAGGGAGAGAUAACGGUCAUAUUGACAGAGGAGUCAGGAGAUCUGAUUACCAUCAGAGAGAGACCAGACUCUGACAGCAGGAAGAGUUCCUCAGGGGAAACAGACCCAGAGACGCCUGACCAACACCACUGCUCCCACUGUGGAAAGAGUUUUAGGUGGUUAGGGAGCCUGAAAAUGCAUGAGAGAACACAUACAGGAGAAAAGCCCUACCACUGUUCCCACUGUGGAAAGAAUUUUACUCAGUUAGGAUCCCUGGUUGGGCAUGAGAGAACACACACGGGAGAGAAGCCUUACCACUGUUCCCACUGUGGAAAGAGUUUUAGGUGGUUAUGGGUCCUGAAAAAGCAUGAGAGAAUACACACGGGAGAGAAACCUUAUCACUGUUCUCACUGUGGAAACAGUUUUAGGUGGUUAGUGAGCCUGAAAACGCAUGAGAGAAUACACACAGGAGAAAAGCCUUUCCAAUGUUCCCAGUGUGAAAAGAGUUUUAGGUGGUCGGGGAGCUUGAAAAAGCAUGCGAGAAAACACACAGGAGAAAAGCCUUUCCAACAUACUAAUACACAGGAGGAGAAGACAUACCACUGUUCUCAUUGUGAAAAGACAUUUUCCCAGUCAGAGGACCUGAAAUCACACGAGAGAAUAGAGAGGCUGUGUUCUGACUUGUGUUUCUGACUGAGAAUUUGUCCACGGCCAGGAUUCAUAGGGCCAGGGUGUCCGCUAUGGACGCCUGGAAAAAAUCAGCAGUGGACAUUUCUGAACGUUUAUCCAACAGACCUGUACAUCCAUGAAUGGAUCUCUAUAAUGUGUAACUAUUUCUGAUGUAUGUGUUGUGAUGAAUUGUUUAAUAGAUGUACUAUGUUAGGUAUAUUUAUCUGUGGUUUAAUUUCAACAGAUUUUACUGAUGCUAUUAGAUUGCUGUGUGGGGGGAGUUUUAUAUAUACAGUGCCUUCAGAAAGUAUUCACACCC